GCCGGGCGCCGUGGCGCACACCUGUAAUCCCAGUGACUCAGGAGGCUGAGGCCGGAGGAUGGAGAGUUCAGAGCCAGCCUCAG
rnacentral:sRNA from 1 species